AACGCGAAGAACCUUACAAGAACCUGACCUCAUCAGAACUUGUUAGAAAUAACUCGGUGCCUUCGGGAACUGAAUGACAGGUGCUGCAUGGGUGUCGUCAGCUCGUGUCGUGAGAUGUUGGGUUAAGUCCCGCAACGAGCGCAACCCUUAUCCUUAGUUGCCAGCACGUAAUGGUGGGAACUCUAAGGAGACUGCCGGUGAUAAACCGGAGGAAGGUGGGGAUGACGUCAAGUCAUGAUGGCCCCUAUGGGUAGGGGUACCCCACUGGUACAAAGGCCAGUACCAAGGGCAGCAAAAUCGGGAGAGUAAGCAAAUUCCAGAAAUCUGGUUGUAGUCGGGAUUGGGGUUGGAAAUUGGACGCCAGGAAGUGGAAACCGCUAGUAA
rnacentral:rRNA from 1 species